CACGAUCAGGAUCUGAUGCAAGUAUAAGAUUUUUUGCUUCGCUUAGAGCAACCUUGAUGCUCUUAAGAUGAGUCCAAGCAGCAGCAGGAACCUCCCAUACCAUACUAAAGUCUUCAUCAGGUCGCACAGAACCAGACCUUGCAGCCAAGUCCCUUACAUGACCAUAACUAGGUAAAACUUCAAACAUAUCACCAAGGUACCGUUGAAUGACCUUCGCCUUUGUAAUGGACUCAACCACCACAACAGAUUUCCCAGUAGGAG
rnacentral:misc_RNA from 1 species